UCCGAUACCAGUUAACCAUUCAUUCAGGCAAUGUUAGGACUUCUACAAAAGUAAGAAACAAGAAAGCAUCGUUUGCAUUAACAUGACCUUAAACCAAAUUAACAUUGUGUAACCAUGAUGUAUUCACCUAAUCAAGUCAAUUCGGCAUGAAAUUCAUACAUUACGGGACACACGUCUUAUCAUGAAUACUCCACAAAGCAAUCAAAAUUAGUAAUUCAUGUGCUAAAACAUGAUUUUUUUUAAUGCUUACAUUAUAACACUUGACGAUAAAGGAGAAAAGAUGGCAACUUUCUUCAUACAGAUUUACACUUCACUUGUUGACAUUUUUGGUCCUUUUCAUUUGGAAGCAAAUAAGCUGCUUUACUCCACAAUCAAUAAGACAUGUAAAAGAGAGAAGUUCAUAUGGACAGUUGCUAUAGCAAUUAGCAUCUAGUUGAUAAAACUGAAUGUAAAGCUGAUGAUGACAAGAUGCAAAUGUUUAUAUUUAUUACCAUGCCCACGGGAACUGGUAUAAACGACAUAAAAAAUAGAAUGAACAGAUUUCAUUAGCAAAGCGACGAAAGUAUCAAGAGAGAUUAUUUUAUUAAAAUCAAAUUAGCCAUCGUAGGAAGAGCUUAGUGAUUGACCUACCUCUUUUCCUCAUCGAAAUUUGUCCCUUAUCUACAGCACCAACUUGAACCCCUCUGACAGGAAAUCAUCUCUUGGAGGAAGGGGAAAAAAAAGUUAAAUAAUUACAAUUCAGGUUCAAUAGAACUGAACUGAUGCAGAGAGAAGAUUUUUUACUUGUCCAAUUUACUUUAAUCAACAAAUUUUACAUCUAUCCAAACAAUUUACAGGUAAGUGCAGAAAAUUACAGCAAAGGGAGUCCCAACGUUAAGCCCCUGUUUGAGACUUUCUUUAGAUUUUGGCAAUAAUGUUUAGUUGAAAAGUUAUGAAUCCCAUAAAAUACGUGAUUAAAACUAAUUGUUGACUUUGAUUUAGAUGAAAAAUUUUAAUUCAUACUAUAAACAAUAGCUAAGCAACCAAAGGUAUAAAAAACAAAUAAAAAAUCAAUCUGCAACAUGAUAUGAAAAGCGAUAUGCUGUUGACUCUAUAAAUAUUGUACAAGUCAACACCAUACAAUACAGAAAUACAUAUACAACAAAUUGACUAGAUAAUGUCAAGUCAUCAACUCUAUAUAGGGCUACUUCACAUAUUCUUCUUGGUUUUCUUUUCCUCUUCUCUUGUACAUGUUUCUUGAC
rnacentral:lncRNA from 1 species